ACCUUGUGUAAGGGAUUGCUCGAUUGGUAGAGCACGAGACACUUAAUCUCAGGGUCGUGGGUUUGAGCCUCACGUCGGGCA